GAAGACUCGGAUACACAUGUUUAUGGCUUUAUCUUAUAGAACUCAAGGUCCCCGUGCUGGGAAAACAGGUUUUGCAGCUGUUUGAGCUAAGAUUUCCAAGUUAUUCACAUAAUGAAAACCUAUACUUUGUUUCGGUCGAGUUCCCCAUUCAAAUGCAUGUAACAGUGAGAAACGCACUGUCUUGGCGAAAGAAAGCGUUUUUGUACAACUUCAUAUAAAUCAAUGUAACUUUUGAUAGGAGACUCGGAUACACAUGUUUAUGGCUUUAUCUUAUAGAACUCAAGGUCCUCGUGCUGGGAAAACAGGUUUUGCAGCUGUUUGAGCUAAGAUUUCCAAGUUAUUCACAUAAUGAAAACCUAUACUUUGUUUCGGUCGAGUUCCCCAUUCAAAUGCAUGUAACAGUGAGAAACGCACUGUCUUGGCGAAAGAAAGCGUUUUUGUACAACUUCAUAUAAAUCAAUGUAACUUUUGAUAGGAGACUCGGAUACACAUGUUUAUGGCUUUAUCUUAUAGAACUCAAGGUCCUCGUGCUGG